CUCUCGAGUCCGGGCCGCAAGUCCCAGACGCUGCCCAUGGAGGCGUCCAGCGAGCCGCCGCUGGAUGCUAAGUCCGAUGUCACCAACCAGCUUGUAGAUUUUCAGUGGAAACUGGGUAUGGCUGUGAGCUCAGACACUUGCAGAUCUCUUAAGUAUCCUUACGUUGCAGUGAUGCUAAAAGUGGCAGAUCAUUCAGGCCAAGUAAAGACCAAGUGCUUUGAAAUGACGAUUCCACAGUUUCAGGUUUGUGAUUUAACUCAUCCAGUUUUAGCUCAGCUUUUCUGUAAUCAUUGCAUAAAAAGAUGUAUAAAAUCUUUCUACGGGAAAACUUUAAUGGUUUUUAUUUGUAGAUUGAUAUGCUUUACGUUUACUAGUAGUAUAUGCAAGAGACAUUAAUUUGUCUUCUUUGGGAAUUUGAUAAAUUAUUUUCAAUAUAAUGUGCUGAAGUUGUGUACUGCGCCAUUUGAUCGCUUGAACAGUACUCCUCUCUGAGUAUAUUUAGGAAAGUUUUAUCUUCAAUGGCAGGAUAUUUA
rnacentral:lncRNA from 1 species